GGAAGAGGGAAGCUAUUGUACUUCUGGUUCAGGCAGGUCACUGUGGGCUCCAGAAUUGUUGGCAGUGGUUUUAGCGGACUCUGAAGGAGGGAGGAGGAUCCUGAGUUCCUGCUCAGUGCCAGUGCAGGUGAUUUCCCCAGCAGAAACGAGACAGCUCCAGCAGCAGCAGAGCUCUGGAAAACUGGAGAGAACGUUUUUCAAAUGCUUGUAAUGGACCCGGCACUUCCCUAAGAAGUUUUCAUUACAUCAAAUCACAUGAGGAUGCUAUGAAGACAGAACGAGAUAUCAUCAGUGAAUUAUGUUUUGAGAUCAUAGGAAGAAUCAUCGAUCGGUGAAUCAGUGUAUUUCUCUCUACUAGUACAAGAGAUUUAUUUGAUGACUAUGGAAAUGAAAGUGCAGAGAAGAGCCAAUUCUUAUGUCAUCCAAAAGGCAUUCUCAGCUUUUCCUGCUUUCUUAGUCUCUGAAUGAUGGAACUUCUCCACAAUUUGCUUUAGAAUUGAAAUGCGAAGAGAAACUCUUAUUUAUACUCCACGCUCCUCAAGCACUGAAAAAGUGCUGACCUGCCAACUGUGUUUCCUGGCAUCAGCUGCCACCUCCCUGCUGAGAUCCAUGUUCAGUGUGACAGUGUCUGGUAAAAUGCAUGUCUGCUGAACAGCCCUUUCCCCAGCUAACUCGGGGACCAGCUGCCUAGCCAUGACACAUCCCCAAAGCAAGACAGCAUGGGGAGAGAUUUAUCAAACUAAAGAUGGUGUUAUCAACCAGUCACUGAGGACAGGAGACAAUCUCCCAGAAAUGGAUGGACUCAGUCUGUUGGCUGAGUUUGUUUCAGGAAGACAAGUUCCUCCCAAGAGGAUAGUGUGUGUCAUGUCCAGGCUGAGAGCUCCGAAUGGCAAUACAUCUGUGGUCUAAAUCGAUUAACUCUCCCCUGGGCUGUGUGUGAGUCUGCGGAUCCUCAAUACUCCCUGUCAGAGGCACCAGACAUACAAGACCAGAAAACCCCAGGAGUCUGGCCCCAUGUGGGCUUUCUUGGAGUGACAAGUGUUUUUAAUCCAGGAGGAAUGUCAUCAUGGAAAACCGGGCAGCUUGUGAAUUGGAUAGCUGCCAUCUGGGUCACUUGAUGAUCAAGGCAUGUACUUAUUGCAAAGAUCUUUGCUUUUCGAACAGCUGUCCCUCUGCUGAAGCUGUCAUUUGAGCUGGUGAGCUGGAGGGCUCAGCAACAAGGAGGUCACAUUGCUCCAGGGACCUGGUACAUUACGAGACACGGAGAGACACGGAGCUGACUGUGGGGAGCAAUGUCACAGUCGGCAAAUGCUUCAUUUUGUAGAGGAGUUGUCCACUGUGGCUUAACUAUUUCCUGAAGGGGAGGUGACAGUGUGGUCUAAAAUCUAAAGGCCUGGCUGGUUUUAUUGUCUGCCACAUGGGACUACGCUCACAGAUCAAAGCCGUCAUUCUUGCCGGGGCUAAUGUGAAUUUUAUGGGCACCAGGGGAGACCAUUCUCAUCGCUGGUUCCAGACGGUGUAUUUAUCCACAGUCAAAGAGUCGCUGCUUUGCCCUUUCAGACUUUGAUGCAAGUCCAAAAAGCAGACGUGGCCAUUCGCUCUUGCCCUCCCUCAUCAACACCGGGAUGCUUUAUCUAGACGUGUUUAUUUCUGGACACACCAGUAUAUUCUGCAGUUUCAUAAAACCUGGAGAUUGCUGCUUUGCGCGUGUAGCAAAGUGUAGUUGCACAUUUGAAACAGAAAUGUGAUAUUCAUGCCAACUUUCUCUUUUUCUCUCACUUGUCCAGAUUCAGGGGUUCAAAACUGGGUUCCCCGGAAAAGUUCCAAUACACAUUCUUUCUCGUUUCCGCAGUUCAGACUGUGGUCAGAGCAAGUCCAGGGGCAUUCAUGACUUUUGACUAUCGGCGUCCUGAAUGCUUCAUUGACUACCCCCUAAACAAUAAGCAAAGAACUUAAAAAGUGUGAGAGCGAAUGUCAUUUCUGGCCUAAUUUUAGAGGAAUGUGUCUUUAGCAAUGAAGAACCCCCAGAGAGGUUUAUCCUGCAUUCCUCAAAUGAGAGAGCGCGGAUGAUCCCAGACACACGGUCUCCGAAUGAACUCUCUGGAAGUCUUUCCCAAAAUUAGCCUGCAAUGCGUGUCCCUGGAGCACUCCUGCUGAUUGCAGGGAUGGCUGUUAACGAUGUGUUUUUCUUUCUGAAAAUGACUUUUUUUUCUGGGUUGCUGUUUUAACUGUGCUGAGAAAAUUAUUUUUGCCUCAUGAGUGCAUUUUGAAGAGUAUGAGCAUAUAUAUUUUUUUCACCACCAAAGGCUGACCUAUCUCUAGAUCCUUUGCAAAGGAACCAUACAUAGUUCAGUUACCAUAUGAGCUAAGAACAUGUCCUCUGGCGAAGAUGAUGAAGACGCUCAGGAGCCCAUUCCUCCGUACAGUCAUGGGCCUCUUCCUACCUCUGUUUCUAGUGAGGAGAUGUGGGCAGCCUCCCCAACUCCCCCACCCCCGCUCCCUGCCCACUGCCGGAUGUCCAAUGGGUACGAAGGGGAACCUGUUCUGUGACCUGUUCUUGACCCCAUGGCCCAUUUCGAGGCAAUAAAAAGGAGAGAGGGAGAGAAAGGUGGGGAAACUGGUGACGAGAUUGGCUGUGGAGAGUACGGUCAUGCUGAAUCUCACCCCUCUAGCCACAAUGGUAGGAAGGGGCUCCAUCCCAUGCUCACGCCCAGAGUGGGGUUAUAGCAAGGGAACCCCUGAGGGGAUUCUGGAAGAUGUUCCCUGUUGGUGAGACUUAGGGAGAACUGACCCAACCCUUAGAAAAGUGAAAACAGACCGUGGUCUCAGGUCUCCUUCCUGCCUGGGAUCUGGAAAUGAAUGGCCUGGGUGGGGUCAGAGGCCAGAGGCAUAGAAGGAACCAACCAUCCUUUUUAAAAAUUUUCCUGGGAAAGACAUCAGGGCAGGUGAUGUGUGACUGUCCCAGGGCUGGCCACGUGAGACAGCGCCAGUUCCUGCUGGAAUUUUCAUCCAGGGCCAGGGGAAUAUUAGACCCACUCAACUCGGCUGUGCCCAGGCAGUUAAGAUAAAGAUGCAUGUUGAAUACGACACAAAUCACGUUUUGCUCAACAUGUUAGAUACACUGUGUUUCCCCCAAGGAUCAGAGUUGACAGCAAGUUAGCAAAGCAGGUUUCUCAGAGGAAUCCCAUGCCACGUUUCAUUUCAACUGGCCGAGUUUUAGCAGUAACUCAUUUGUACUGCUUUCUUCUGUAAAAAUCUGAAGACCAGGUCUUCUCCUGGCCGAACAUUUUAUGCCAUGGGUGCCUCAGAAUGUACCGUGGCAGAUGUGAAACACCUUGAUUCUGCCCAUCUCCAGGUCUCUCUCCAGCUCCAAGCUCCCUCCACCCUCCACUCUCCACCCCAAUGGGCUGACGGUUGGGUCCUUCUAGUUUGAGGUGAAGGAGUGGCAAGUGGGUAAUGACCUGGAGGCACGCUAGAGAGAUCGCAGUGUAGUGGUUCAAUAAAGGAGAUGGAUGCUGACAUCAACAACUUCCAUGAAUAACAAAGGGGAGCUUUCCGGCCCUUCCGAGGAGACGUGGAGUGGCACUGAAUGUUUUUGGGGAGGGGUGAGAGAGCCUUCCCUUUUGCGUCUUUCUCUAGCCCCUCUCCGGAGUCUCCAAGCACCCAGGGCUUUUGUUUAGCUGUGUUUUCCUUUGUUCCUAAGGAAUUUUUUUCCCUGCUGAAGCAAACUCAACCAUCGGCAGUCAGAAGGCAAAGGAUGUUUUUGGUGGAAUCAGGCAGGCAGGCAGAUAAGGGCUGGUGAAUGACAUCUGGGCAUUCUUACAAAUGACCCCGUGCACUAAGACAGAGGAGAAACAACACUGUGCGAUUUGGGGCUGCCAUGUGAGGUUAUAAAAAGUGGAAUGCCAGAAGUAUUAUAGGUAUACAUACAUAAAGGAUGUCUUUCUCCCAAAUGUCAGACUUGCAACGAGUUUGGAUUCUUUUGCUGUAAAAAUGCUUCUCUUUUUAAAAAACUUUCCUGCGAGCUGAAGAUGAUCCUUUAAAGUCAGAUGUUCUCAUCUUCCCUCUGAAGGCAACCUGUCCUACACUUUCCCCCUGCAGUGCGGAGAUGACUUUUACAUGCGUUUGAUCGACUGUACACCGACAUUCUUUGCCAGGAAAGGAAGAACAGAGAUACAGAUGAAUGAGAAUUCAAGUCGGAACUACUCAAGCGUUUGAUCUUUCAGAGAUUCAGAAAACAUGGAGGAAAAGAAUAAAUAAAUGAAAUGGGAAGGGAGCGAACAGCUGUGUUCCUUUCCUCCCCUCGUCCGUCCUUUGAGCGUAGCAGAGUUCGGCAUGGGGCUCUAGACCCAGGGACUCCUUUGAUUCCAGCUCCACCCGUCACUAGCUUACGACCUUGGGUCAGUUACUUUAAUCUCUCUGUGCCUUCGCUUCUGCGUCAGUAAAAUGGGGAUAAAAAUAAGAUGUGCCUCCUA